GACGAACGCUGGCGGCGUGCUUAACACAUGCAAGUCGAACGGUAAGGCCCUUUCGGGGGUACACGAGUGGCGAACGGGUGAGUAACACGUGGGUGAUCUGCCCUGCACUUUGGGAUAAGCCUGGGAAACUGGGUCUAAUACCGGAUAGGACUACGCGAUGCAUGUCGUGUGGUGGAAAGCUUUUGCGGUGUGGGAUGGGCCCGCGGCCUAUCAGCUUGUUGGUGGGGUGAUGGCCUACCAAGGCGACGACGGGUAGCCGGCCUGAGAGGGUGUCCGGCCACACUGGGACUGAGAUACGGCCCAGACUCCUACGGGAGGCAGCAGUGGGGAAUAUUGCACAAUGGGCGCAAGCCUGAUGCAGCGACGCCGCGUGGGGGAUGACGGCCUUCGGGUUGUAAACCCCUUGCAGCACAGACGAAGCGUAAGUGACGGUAUGUGCAGAAGAAGCACCGGCCAACUACGUG
rnacentral:rRNA from 1 species